rnacentral:rRNA from 1 species
ACUCUAAGCGGUGGAUCACUCGGCUCAUGGGUCGAUGAAGAACGCAGCAAACUGUGCGUCAUCGUGUGAACUGCAGGACACAUGAACAUCGACAUUUUGAACGCAUAUCGCAGUCCAUGCUGUUAUGUACUUUAAUUAAUUUUAUAGUGCUGCUUGGACUACAUAUGGUUGAGGGUUGUAAGACUAUGCUAAUUAAGUUGCUUAUAAAUUUUUAUAAGCAUAUGGUAUAUUAUUGGAUAAAUAUAAUAAUUUUUAUUCAUAAUAUUAAAAAAUAAAUGAAAAACAUUAUCUCACAUUUGAAUGUGAAAAACGAAGAGAAAUAUUUUCUUUUUCAAUCAAAUAAUACUGAGAAAUGUCUAGCAUAAAAAAUUGAAAUAUUUUUCAUCUAGAAUUGUCUCUUAUUAAUGAUUCGGAAAUAGAAAAAUCUUGGUUAUGUUAUUAUUCUUCGUUGGUUCGUUAAAAAUGGAUAAAUAAAAACUUUGCAUACAAGAAUUAAUAAAAAUGUUAUAACGAAUUUAAUUAAAUGUUUUAUCAUUAUAUAUAAAGAAUUUAUGGCAAGAUAAAGUUAUAUACAACCUCAACUCAUAUGGGACUACCCCCUGAAUUUAAGCAUAUUAAUUAGGGGAGGAAAAGAAACUAACAAGGAUUUUCUUAGUAGCGGCGAGCGAAAAGAAAACAGUUCAGCACUAAGUCACUUUGUCUAUAUGGCAAAUGUGAGAUGCAGUGUAUGGAGCGUCAAUAUUCUAGUAUGAGAAAUUAACGAUUUAAGUCCUUCUUAAAUGAGGCCAUUUACCCAUAGAGGGUGCCAGGCCCGUAUAACGUUAAUGAUUACUAGAUGAUGUUUCCAAAGAGUCGUGUUGCUUGAUAGUGCAGCACUAAGUGGGUGGUAAACUCCAUCUAAAACUAAAUAUAACCAUGAGACCGAUAGUAAACAAGUACCGUGAGGGAAAGUUGAAAAGAACUCUGAAUAGAGAGUUAAACAGUACGUGAAACUGCUUAGAGGUUAAGCCCGAUGAACCUGAAUAUCCGUUAUGGAAAAUUCAUCAUUAAAAUUGUAAUAUUUAAAUAAUAUUAUGAGAAUAGUGUGCAUUUUUUCCAUAUAAGGACAUUGUAAUCUAUUAGCAUAUACCAAAUUUAUCAUAAAAUAUAACUUAUAGUUUAUUCCAAUUAAAUUGCUUGCAUUUUAACACAGAAUAAAUGUUAUUAAUUUGAUAAAGUGCUGAUAGAUUUAUAUGAUUACAGUGCGUUAAUUUUUCGGAAUUAUAUAAUGGCAUAAUUAUCAUUGAUUUUUGUGUUUAUUAUAUGCACUUGUAUGAUUAACAAUGCGAAAGAUUCAGGAUACCUUCGGGACCCGUCUUGAAACACGGACCAAGGAGUCUAACAUAUGUGCAAGUUAUUGGGAUAUAAACCUAAUAGCGUAAUUAACUUGACUAAUAAUGGGAUUAGUUUUUUAGCUAUUUAUAGCUAAUUAACACAAUCCCGGGGCGUUCUAUAUAGUUAUGUAUAAUGUAUAUUUAUAUUAUUUAUGCUCUAACUGGAACGUACCUUGAGCAUAUAUGCUGUGACCCGAAAGAUGGUGAACUAUACUUGAUCAGGUUGAAGUCAGGGGAAACCCUGAUGGAAGACCGAAACAGUUCUGACGUGCAAAUCGAUUGUCAGAAUUGAGUAUAGGGGCGAAAGACCAAUCGAACCAUCUAGUAGCUGGUUCCUUCCGAAGUUUCCCUCAGGAUAGCUGGUGCAUUUUAAUAUUAUAUAAAAUAAUCUUAUCUGGUAAAGCGAAUGAUUAGAGGCCUUAGGGUCGAAACGAUCUUAACCUAUUCUCAAACUUUAAAUGGGUAAGAACCUUAACUUUCUUGAUAUGAAGUUCAAGGUUAUGAUAUAAUGUGCCCAGUGGGCCACUUUUGGUAAGCAGAACUGGCGCUGUGGGAUGAACCAAACGUAAUGUUACGGUGCCCAAAUUAACAACUCAUGCAGAUACCAUGAAAGGCGUUGGUUGCUUAAAACAGCAGGACGGUGAUCAUGGAAGUCGAAAUCCGCUAAGGAGUGUGUAACAACUCACCUGCCGAAGCAACUAGCCCUUAAAAUGGAUGGCGCUUAAGUUGUAUACCUAUACAUUACCGCUAAAGUAGAUGAUUUAUAUUACUUGUGAUAUAAAAUUUUGAAACUUUAGUGAGUAGGAAGGUACAAUGGUAUGCGUAGAAGUGUUUGGCGUAAGCCUGCAUGGAGCUGCCAUUGGUACAGAUCUUGGUGGUAGUAGCAAAUAAUCGAAUGAGACCUUGGAGGACUGAAGUGGAGAAGGGUUUCGUGUGAACAGUGGUUGAUCACGAGUUAGUCGGUCCUAAGUUCAAGGCGAAAGCCGAAAAUUUUCAAGUAAAACAAAAAUGCCUAACUAUAUAAACAAAGCGAAUUAUAAUACACUUGAAUAAUUUUGAACGAAAGGGAAUACGGUUCCAAUUCCGUAACCUGUUGAGUAUCCGUUUGUUAUUAAAUAUGGGCCUCGUGCUCAUCCUGGCAACAGGAACGACCAUAAAGAAGCCGUCGAGAGAUAUCGGAAGAGUUUUCUUUUCUGUUUUAUAGCCGUACUACCAUGGAAGUCUUUCGCAGAGAGAUAUGGUAGAUGGGCUAGAAGAGCAUGACAUAUACUGUUGUGUCGAUAUUUUCUCCUCGGACCUUGAAAAUUUAUGGUGGGGACACGCAAACUUCUCAACAGGCCGUACCAAUAUCCGCAGCUGGUCUCCAAAGGUGAAGAGUCUCUAGUCGAUAGAAUAAUGUAGGUAAGGGAAGUCGGCAAAUUAGAUCCGUAACUUCGGGAUAAGGAUUGGCUCUGAAGAUUGAGAUAGUCGGGCUUGAUUGGGAAACAAUAACAUGGUUUAUGUGCUCGUUCUGGGUAAAUAGAGUUUCUAGCAUUUAUGUUAGUUACUUGUUCCCCGGAUAGUUUUAGUUACGUAGCCAAUUGUGGAACUUUCUUGCUAAAAUUUUAAGAAUACUAUUUGGGUUAAACCAAUUAGUUCUUAUUAAUUAUAACGAUUAUCAAUUAACAAUCAAUUCAGAACUGGCACGGACUUGGGGAAUCCGACUGUCUAAUUAAAACAAAGCAUUGUGAUGGCCCUAGCGGGUGUUGACACAAUGUGAUUUCUGCCCAGUGCUCUGAAUGUCAAAGUGAAGAAAUUCAAGUAAGCGCGGGUCAACGGCGGGAGUAACUAUGACUCUCUUAAGGUAGCCAAAUGCCUCGUCAUCUAAUUAGUGACGCGCAUGAAUGGAUUAACGAGAUUCCUACUAGCCUCGCUGCCAGAGCUUAAUCCUGCUUGGAUGCCUUUCGUAUGCGAACAGUAUCCACAUGUGGCACUGCAGGUACUUGGUGAGCUCCCCCGCUUGAUCUGCUGCUAAGUUAUUAGCGAUUAAAUACAAGCUAAAACGUGGAUUCCGCGCUGGAGAGAACGACUGGCUUUACGGCGAGGACAUUGCGUGUCUUAGCCUGGGAGCAGAGGAAAGACUCGCCUAGAGGAGUGUUUAAUCCAGGUUGGCAGAACAGAUGGGACGAUGACAGCGAACAGGACGGGUGACGCAUAGGUUUAUCCCAUACGUCACUCUUGCCUAUCGGGAUCCAAGUUUUCGUUCUCGAUGAGGACGUCUUUCCUGCUACAGGGCACGGGUCGUUCAUGCAUUUUUGCACGGAAGAGCCCUCAGCGAUACCACUGCUUGCGCAUGUGGAGAUCCAUAUGAGGACUGGAUGCAUAUCUGUGCGCUUGCCCCCUAUAUGCAGAUCUGCGGGACCUAGAUGACUUGGAGUGCAGCGCCUUGGCGAAAACUGGAUCUUCGAGGAAUCCUGGAUGAUCAGAGAAAGACUCAACGCUGGCAAUUGUUGCGGAAGAAGUGUUCCUGAGGAGGAGGGGCGUUUAGCUCAGCAUCUCUGCCGUGUGGUUAGCGGGCGAGAAUACUACCAAGUCCGCUGUUGCUUGU